CCUACGGGAGGCAGCAGUGGGGAAUAUUGGACAAUGGGCGAAAGCCUGAUCCAGCCAUGCCGCGUGUGUGAAGAAGGCCUUCGGGUUGUAAAGCACUUUCAGUGGGGAAGAAAGCCUUGGGGCUAAUACCCUCGAGGAAGGACAUCACCCACAGAAGAAGCACCGGCUAACUCCGUGCCAGCAGCCGCGGUAAUACGGAGGGUGCGAGCGUUAAUCGGAAUUACUGGGCGUAAAGCGCGCGUAGGCGGUCUGAUAAGCCGGUUGUGAAAGCCCCGGGCUCAACCUGGGAACGGCAUCCGGAACUGUCAGGCUAGAGUGCAGGAGAGGAAGGUAGAAUUCCCGGUGUAGCGGUGAAAUGCGUAGAGAUCGGGAGGAAUACCAGUGGCGAAGGCGGCCUUCUGGACUGACACUGACGCUGAGGUGCGAAAGCGUGGGUAGCAAACAGGAUUAGAUACCCGAGUCGUC
rnacentral:rRNA from 1 species